ACAUGAGCUAGGCCCAUCAGGAGGCCGCCAGGUCUGUAUCCUUGGAAAGAUACCCACUGUCCUUCACAGGACACCAGAGGACACUAGGUGAAAAGGUCUUAGCUCUUGAGACAUUGAAGUUGCCAGUUCUGCUUUAUGCGUCUGAGGUAAAGAAUAACUUCCACUAUUUCUGAAACUGUGGGCAGUUGACGGGGGAUGUGGCGGCAUUCAGGAAACCCGGGCCUCCUCCCUCCCUUCUCGCUGGACCACAUCCUGAGGAGCUUCACAACGAAUCCACCAUCCAGGGGCUCCUGAUUUCAGUGGAUGCUCCUUUUUCCAGCUUCUGCAGAUCAAUAGGACCCACUUGGCGUCUUUAACAUCUGUCCUCCAGCCCCACCCACCCCUCUC
rnacentral:lncRNA from 1 species